CUGAGGCAGGAGAAUUGCUUGAACCUGGGAGGUGGAGGUUGCAGUGAGCCAAGAUCACACCAUUACACUCCAGCCUGUGCAACAGAGCAAGACUCCAUCUGAAAAUAAUAAUAACAGUAAUAACAGAGCUUCUGACCCUGAGAAGGAACUAAGGAACUGUAUUUUUGCACAGUGAUAUAUUUUCAACAUAUUAUGUCUCAAAUGUAGUAAGUAUAUAUAAUAUAUUAAACACAUUAGGGAAAGACUUACAUUUUUUUAAAUACUGUUUUUACUUUCUCACUUAAUAAGAACAUUUCGGGUAUUUGGAAAACCUACAUUAUCCAACAAUGAUUAUUAACGGUGGUAUCACUGUCUUAUUUGUUGAAUUCCAAGUCAUGCUUUUUUUCCUUUUAAAUAGAAUCCUCACUAUUAAAUGAUCCUCUCCUUUCAUUCUCUAUUCUUUUUAAGUUUCCUCAAGAAAUGGUUUUAUUUUCUUGGAUUUGGAAUGUUUAACAGGGUGUGGUGAUGUUAUUGAUUUAUGUGUUUUUGAAGCUGAAUUUAUUAAAACAAUCUCUGAACCUUCUUAGGAUCAAUACACAGUCAGGAAACCAGAAACAACAGCAUCUUUGUGGCCCCUCAGAAUAAAAAAGUACAUGACAAUGGAUGAAGUCCGAGAAUUCGAACGAGCCACUCAGGAAGCCACCAACAAGAAAAUCGGCAUUUUCCCACCUGCAAUUUCUAUCUCCAGCAUCCCCCUGCUGCCUUCUUCUGUCCGCAGUGCGCCUUCUAGUGCUCCAUCCACCCCUCUCUCCACAGAUGCACCCGAAUUUCUGUCUGUUCCCAAAGAUCGGCCCCGGAAAAAGUCUGCCCCAGAAACUCUCACACUUCCAGACCCUGAGAAAAAAGCCACCCUGAAUUUACCUGGCAUGCACCCUUCAGAUAAGCCAUGUCGGCCCAAAUCUGAGUAACUUUAUAUAAAUAUCUUAUGGGGUUUUAUAUUUUCAUUUGGUUUUUUGUUUGUUUGUUUUUUGUUUUUUUUUAAGAAUCUUCUGAUAGAGAAAAAGACUGCUUUAUCACUCAAACGUGUUCCUUUGACCUUUCAGUGUGCAUGUGACUCAGUAACUUCACAUAGAAUAUGAUUCCCUAAGUAUGCCACACAGCAUCAUAUUAGAUGUAAGACCUGCAAAGGACAGAAGGAAUCUUCUGUAACCACAUAGCUGUAAGCUCGAGAGGAAGCCUUGUUAUUGGGCAUUUGAUGAGGUUUGGCAUGCACUUCAAAGAUAAAUGAAUGAAAACUUUGCACCACUUUUGUUACAAGGUAUGGUAGAAAAUAGUAAAGUCAGUUUCCUCUCAUCAAAUCUAAAAUUCUCCAAAAUACUCUCAGGCAUAACAUACUUAGUUGUUAAAUUUUGAACUGCUGAUUACUAAUACUUGAAUACCAAUAGUUACUGAGAUUCCUAUUUUGGUUAGUCUGACUCAGGAUUUGGAGCCUAAUUAACUCUUUAAACUUUUGAAAAUUUUAAUCAUCAAGCUAUAGCGGCUCCAAGUGCAAUUAAUAAUAACUCAUUUAUACCUUCCACAGAAUUUAAUAAAGAUUCUACUUGUUUCUGUCUUUUAAUAACUUUCCCCUUUGUGCCCUUGUGGCCUCAGAAAUCCUUAAGAAUUGCAUGGAUAAAUGUGACCAUAACUGAUUUUGGAAUGGUUCAGUUUAGGAACCAAGAGGCCCAGGUGAGGCAACAUCUUUUUUCUCUACAGGUACCAACAAACUUUGACUUGUCAGCUUCCAUCAUCAAUUAAGAUUCUCAGAAUUUGCAAUUAAUUGAAUAGAAUUUAUUUACUAUCUACCCACUCAAAGAAGUACAAGGGUAGAGUAAGCUAACUGGGCUUUAACACGGUCAGAAUGUCUGGUGCAUGAACCAUAAAAAAGAGAACUGUCUCCCAUCCCCUUUCUUGUUUUACUCUUAGUAACAUCCAGAAUUCCCUGGAACAGAUUGUCUACCACCAGACCUUAGAAAAGAUUGUCAUUCUCUUGCUCCUUACUUGAAACACAAAUAUUGGGACUGUCACGUAUAUCAAGUAACUACUGUCAAGUGGGAGGAGAGAAUGAGCGGAAUUGCUGACUCCUAUUUGUAGAGUGAAAAGGAGGAGUGAUAAUAGAUGCCCUUCUGUCUAGCUUUCCUUUCUUCAACUAGUGGUAAUGCAAGAUUAGAAUCAAGGUUGACAGGAGGCAAGAUCACUCAUCAAAGUGACAGAAAGACAAUUCUCCUUUGCUCUAAAGAGAGAAAUCUGUCACCUUUGCACCUCACUGCCUUUAAACACAGAUGGGAGGGCAGGCAGAAUCUCAGCGUUGACUUUUGUCCUCCGAGAGAGGAAGAGAAGAAGUAAUUGGGCAACUUCGAGGCCCACGCCCCAGCUAGCCUUCCUGAUCGUAACCUCCAACCUCAGGAAAGGGACCUUCCCAAAACACAGAUCCCAAAGGAAACAAAACAGACCAAGGAGCAUAAUCUGCUUCUCUCACACAGCCUCUCUGCCAGUGGACCCUGCCUGCUUCCCUCUCAGUGCUCAGCACUCUGUGUAGUGUCUUUCAGGUUGAUAACACUCUCCCAAGGUGCAGGCGCUGGCCCCAUGAGCCCAGCACCAAAGUUUUCUAGUCAUAGGUCAGACUGUCAAGAUCAUUUCUUUAUCUAUAGGUUGAUACUUAGCUUAAAAAAAAAAAAAAAAAAGAAUAAACCUAGAACUCAAAGGAAACCCAUUGCAAAUAGCUUAGAUCAACAGUGUAUCUCUUCCCUAAGAACGAUAGUAUCUUAGUAAGACACCUUCUAUGCAUGGUAUGGAAGCAUGAUUUUUGCUUGUGGGAAAACUUAAUCUUUUAUCAGACCCCUCGGACUUCUCAAUCCCUCCCUCUCCAUACAGUAGUAUUUAAUGAAAAUGUUUUGCUUUAGAAAGCAAAAUGCUACUUUCAGAAGACACUGAAAUAGUAUACGUAUUUGCUUACCAUUUGCAAGCUGAAAUCAAGGCGGGGUGGGGUCAUCAUUUUCAUAUAGAAUGUAUUUAUUUUGUGCAGGUUGUUAACACAUCUGGCAUCUAGUUUUUCCAUUAAUAGCAUUGCUAUUUUCCCUUUUUAUAAAGUAGCUUCUGCUGUCAAGGUUAACAAUUCUAUAUGCUUUAGGAAGCUAAGUUCUAAUUUCCUUUUGUGAGUUUCAUUUCUUUUAUAACCAGUAUGUUACCACAGACAUCAGUUGCAAAGCUACCAUGGUAGUGUGAUUCUUAGCCAAAAAAAAUGUGUGUGCUCUUAAAGUAUGUUCAGUUUUUCUGUCUACAUGUGCUUUGUGUGCGUUAAAAAGGGGGUGGGGGGUGUAGCUAUUCCUUUAGCUGCUUUGCAUAUUUAACCCAGUCAUCAAAAGGCAUAAAUGACUUCAAUAUUUUAUAUCUCUUGGUUUUCAAGUAUCAUUUCACAUUCUGUAUACAUGACUUUGUUAUUGUGGAAUACAAGCCUGCAAUGGAUGUAUAUAUACAGAACAUUAAUAAUUCUUAUAAGGAUGGAAGUCAAAUGGCUGCAUGAUGGAAAUUAGAAGAAAAAAAAAGCAGAAACUUGAAUUUGCUAAGCAUGUUUGGGGGGAAAUAGAAUCCUUAACUCAGUGCCUCUGUCUGCGAUAUGGAAACCUUCAACUUUGUUCACCAAAACUGUAUUAUACCUGUGUAUAUAUAUAUAUAUAAAUAUAAAUAUAGUAUAGUGAAUCAGACACCAUCGGUUUUAAGUCUCUGGUAGCCAAAUUUAAAUAAUCCAUAGAAUAUCACAUAUGUUCACUCCAUCUUCAUCUCUGAAGUUAGUGGAGACCAUCAAAAUGACUGUACAUUUCAUGACUCUGGGAAAAUUUCAAAAUGUGAAGUGCCCCUGUGCAUUUUGUUGGCUGUAGCACAGCAUUCUUGCUUUAGCUGUGCUUUCCUGGGAUGAGAAGAUCUUGGUGUUUUUAACACAUAAGCUUUGUUAGAAAUCACCUCUGAAGAUCAUUUCAUUUUCUCACUUUGGGUUGCUGCUGCAAGACAAAGCAAAGAAAAAGGAUAACAACGAAGGAGGCCGUGACACUUUUAGUUGCCACCGUUGUAACUCAAACAAUAUGGGUUUGUUGGUACAAACCCAUUUGUUGGUACAAACCUGAUUUAUCAAGCCUUCUGUUACGGUUUUGCAUCUGUGUGGGGGGAAAUUUUUAAUUUAUUUGGAAGUAUUUAUUAGCCAUGUUGUUGGUCCUGAAAAUAAAUCUCUAAGUAGCACAGUUGUGGGUAUAUUAUGCAGGCACUUACCACCAUAUCUGCAAAAGUAACUGUGGUUUUCUUUCAAGACACUGUAAUAAACAGUGAACUAAGAGAAUAGAUUCUGACACAUCUCGAUAAAUCAUUCUCUGCAAAAGUUUCAGGGCUAAUGUAUGUAUGUGUAUUUUUAAAUUCUACUUUCUUUGGCAUCGCUUCAUGGCUCAGAGACAACAAGGUAAUAGGUUAUUGGCUGGCUUAGGUCAAUAGGAAUUUUACUGUUAAGAAGGGUCAGUGUAGAGCUGACUCUGCAUACAAUGUGUAAUCAGAUAAUCCAAUAGAGAGGAAUUGUCCAAAUAGUUUUAGUACCUUUCUGAUCAUCUGACACAGUAGGCUAGGAGACAAUCUGUCAUCUGAGCCAUAGUUCUUGAGAUUUAAAAAGUCUGUCCAGUGACUGCAAUCUGAUUAUAAAUAAACUAUUUUAAACUAUUCAUUCUUGCUGAAACUGAAGUGUACACAAUAGCACAGUGUUGGCAUGCUGAGGCAAAACAUUGGGUUCUUUUGCGUUCUACCUUCAAAACAAUCUGUUUGCAUUUGAAAUAUGAGUGUUUAAGCUUUUUAGGAGUUAGUGUAAUAAGAGAAUGUGAAUAUGUUGGGAAAUUUUCAGAUGCCAUUAAUAAUUGUCAUUUUGUUGUUAAAUUAACAAGUACUUUAGGAUAAGCCUCUCUAUGUUUUUGCUUUAAAUUGAAAGCAUGUCUGUCAAAUUGCAAGUUUCCCUUCGGUUUCUGUAUAUCACCCAGAAGAGGGUCUUUGAGUUGGUGUUGUACCUGUACCACUCACAUGUAGCGUCAAGUGUAAUUUUUAGUGUUUACAUUCAAGCUGGGAUCUUGACUGGUUAAAUUAAUCCACAUACCACUGCCACUGCUGAAGGACCAGGUGUUGGAAUACACAGCGUUACAGGCUAUAAGCAAAGCAAACAAAAGUUGAUCCUUACAUAUGCCAUCCUUCUGUGUCAUUUUGUGGCCAUUCUGUGUUUUUCUCCCGAGUUAUUUAUUAUUGUUAAUAACUCACUUUUUCUUACAUUCUGUUGUAAAUAAAAUACAAAGCAAUCUUC